UUUCAACGGAACAAAAAGAGUUAUUUUAACAUUGACAGCCCUUUACUUCCAGCCACAAAUCAAGAUGCAGAAGGCCCUCGUUAUCUUCCUGGUGUUGGCUAUUGCCACCGUUACAUUGGCCCAGUCCCACGAAGAAGCUGAAGAUGCUUCACACUUGAGAGUUCGUCGUGGCUUUGGCUGUCCAUUCAACCAGUAUGAGUGUCACAGCCACUGCGCGUCCAUUCGAGGAUACAGGGGCGGAUACUGCGACGAAUUCUUGAAAAUGAGAUGCAAGUGCUACUGAAAUAUGUACGCGUAUUUAAGGGACACGAUGGGACUAAAUAAAUGACGUUAUAAUGCUUCC